rnacentral:lncRNA from 1 species
AAUUAAAAUUGAUCGAGUAUAUGGAUCAAUAACAGUAAAAUAUAUCGCACAAUAAUAGUAAAUAAAUUUAGAUUAUAGCGAAGGAAUUUAACUAGUGUUCAUUGUUAAUUAACGGUACGUUUCUCUCGCGGAACAGAAUAAAGGUAUAGUAAAAUUAUGUGUUCAAAUAAAUUCAGUCAUCUAUGUAUGUUAAUCACAUAAAAAUAAAAUAAAUAUAUAGCUAGGUGCACAUCUGGUAAUAAAUUAAUUGGAGCAUUUUUAUUUUCAGAAAUUUUACAAGCUUUAAAAGAAAAAAAUUAGUAAGAAGUCAAAAGGAUUGGUUGAAAAUGAAAAAUCAUUGAGUGAAAUACUGGUUGAAUUUCCAUUUUUUAUAAAACCUUCUGAGAAAAUUGCGACAAUUGAUUCAUCAAAAUGGCCUUUAUUAUUGAAGGUAAUGUAUUAAUACAUUAAAUAGUAGUUUUAUUUAAUUAAAUGAUUAGUUAAAAUAAAACGAAAAAGAGAUGGAUCAAAGGCUGUAUUCAGUGGCCUUACUAAAACUUUUAAUGCCCUUGGCAAAAUAACUAAAUGGGAGCCAAAUACACAAUUUAAGUUGGAGAAAAUUUUCCGCAGAUCGGAACAAAACAAUAAGUUAUCAAUUGUUUGAUUUUACGACUUGGGGCACCUAGAUGUCUUGG